rnacentral:lncRNA from 1 species
UAGUUCAUGUUGUUGUGAAAUAUUCUUUGUUAAGGGUAAAAAAAGGCAUACAUAUUAUGGCAAUCAAGUACUAUAGCAGAGAGGGUAAAAUCUGAAAAUGUACUCUGUUAUUGAUGAAAUAUGAACAAUAUUAAUCUUUUGUUAGAAAAUACAAGCAAGGUAUAACACAGGUACAUCACUGCAGGGGUAAUUACAGCCAGGCAGAUGUCCAACUAAUCCCAUUGGGACAUAUAUAGGAGCAAGGCUUAAAAUGUACAUGAUGUACUGUACAUGAAAAUGCACCAGUUAU